rfam:Rhodobacteraceae bacterium HL-91 ITZX_scaf_107, whole genome shotgun sequence.
GUUGCCAAGGAUCGCCAUCCACCAGCGCGUUGCGCCCGUGGGUGCAAAACCG